rnacentral:rRNA from 1 species
GAUGAACGCUGGCGGCGUGCCUAAUACAUGCCAGUCGAGCGAACAGACGAGGAGCUUGCUCCUCUGCCGUUAGCGGCGGACGGGUGAGUCACACGUGGAUAACCUACCUAUAAGACUGGGAUAACUUCGGGAAACCGGAGCUAAUACCGGAUAAUAUAUUGAACCGCAUGGUUCAAUAGUGAAAGACGGUUUUGCUGUCACUUAUAGAUGGAUCCGCGCCGCAUUAGCUAGUUGGUAAGGUAACGGCUUACCAAGGCAACGAUGCGUAGCCGACCUGAGAGGGUGAUCGGCCACACUGGAACUGAGACACGGUCCAGACUCCUACGGGAGGCAGCAGUAGGGAAUCUUCCGCAAUGGGCGAAAGCCUGACGGAGCAACGCCGCGUGAGUGAUGAAGGUCUUCGGAUCGUAAAACUCUGUUAUUAGGGAAGAACAAAUGUGUAAUUAACUAUGCACGUCUUGACGGUACCUAAUCAGAAAGCCACGGCUAACUACGUG